rnacentral:lncRNA from 1 species
CUUGACUUGGAGGAGUUCUGAAGUGUGGGCCCUGAGACGGCUUCCCUUAGGCAACUAUGUGACUCAAUAAGGUGCCUUCCUGAUCCCUCUUAGUGAAAACCAUUAACUAGCAGUGAAGAAAUAAGCCUGUAUCUGUUUCUCAGACUUGAAUUUGAUGGUACUGGAUGACUGGAUGAGUGAUGAUGACUACUCUUAGAGGCCAGGGCUGCCGUCCCAAAAAAGAGAAAAUGAAGUGCAUUUUUAACAGAUUACUCAUCACCCAGACAUCCUUGGACAGCUCACUUGACUCCAUCAUCCACAAAGAAGAAUCAUAACCGUGGAAAAACAACAACAAAAAUGAGCCUGCAAGAGACCAUAUUGUUGAAAUGAAGAAAAUAUUCAUCUUAGUGAAAUAUAUCCAAGGGCCCAUGUGGCUAUGUAUAUGUUUGUUAUGCAUAUAAAGUACAAGGAACAUC